rnacentral:rRNA from 1 species
CCUACGGGAGGCAGCAGUGGGGAAUAUUGGGCAAUGGGCGCAAGCCUGACCCAGCAACGCCGCGUGAAGGAAGAAGGCUUUCGGGUUGUAAACUUCUUUUCUCAGGGACGAAGCAAGUGACGUUACUUGAGGAAUAAGCCACGGCUAACUACGUGCCAGCAGCCGAGGAAAUAGGUGGGGGGCAAGCGUUAUCCGGAUUUACUGGGGGAAAAGGGCGUGUAGGCGGGAAAACAAGUCAGAUGUGAAAACCAGGGGCUCAACCUGUGUACUGCAUUUGAAACUGUUUUUCUUGAGUACUGGAGAGGCAGGCGGAAUUCCUAGUGUAGCGGUGAAAUGCGUAGAUAUUAGGAGGAACACCAGUGGCGAAGGCGGUCUGCUGGACAGCAACUGACGCUGAGGCGCGAAAGCGUGGGGAGCAAACAGGAUUAGAUACCCCUGUAGUC